rnacentral:SRP_RNA from 1 species
CAUUAUAUAUAUUUUUCUGAGAUAGAAAAAGUGUUGAUUUCAGAAUCGUUUUAGUAUAUAAUAUAUAUGCAACAGAAAGCGGUUGCAUUUUUAGCGUAGCGUAUGGGCCCUGUGCGACGGGAUGCUACGAACCUUGUCAGGCGGGGAACCGAGCAGCAAUAAGUGGAUUAUUCUGUGCGCCGCAGACAAGUCUGUACGUUACGUUAAGAAUGCAACCGUGUUUUUUGUAUGGAUG